rnacentral:lncRNA from 1 species
UCAGAACCAAAACAGAGUACAACAUGUCUGCAUUACAAUAACCAACAGUCUAGCAGUUCGAUAUUAUUAUGCCACAAAUAUACUCAAGGGAAUAAUUGAGAGAGAGAGAGAGAGAGAGAGAGAGAGAGAGAGAUGCCAAUAUCUCAGCAUCUUCCGGUGAUGGUUCCCAUGGUGAGCUCGGGAGCUACAUCCAUGGAGAGAACUGGUUGCCGGCGCUGCUGCUUUCAGAAGGAGCCACGUUGAUCACUUGGGCUGGCUCAGCAUGAGGAGGAGGAGGAGGAGCAACCGCAGCAGCUUGCCCAAUCAAGCAGGACAAAGAGUUCACCGUGCUCAUGAGAUCCUGUUGCUCCACAUUCACAACCUCGUUGUCGCUCAGUAAGUUGUCAUGAAUCUGCUCAAGUGCCAUUGUCUCCGGUGAGAUGUCACCAUUACUCGGCUGGUUCUGCGGCAAGGUCUGCCCUGAAGGUUCAUCUGUGACAGUAGUGGUACGGAAAUACAGAGGUGAUCAGAUUAGUUAACAGUACAAGUUCACUGAGCAAGCAACUUCUGUGGUAAGUUAAUCAGGUUCUCAGUAACAAAACGAUGCAAAUUGCUCACGGAGAUAUUGUGUGUUAUGUCAACUGACCAGAGAGAAGGUAACUGGCUAGAAAGUAGAAUAUGGAUAAAAGGGAUCAAUGAUUUACAAACUACAAUAUACAUACUACAUUCAGAAACUUGAAAGAAAAUAUCUGGAUUUGACAUACUGCCUGAAUAGAUGAGAAACAAGCCAUACUAUUAUACCUGCUCCUGUCGUCAGGCAGGGCCAUUUUUCUAAUCAGAUUUGUAGCGCAUAUCACCGACUGCCUAAGCCUAUUAAUUAGAGAUGGAUUAUCCAUAUUUAUUUAUUUCAUUGACAAAACAUGCAUCCGAUUCAGAAAGAAGUUAAAACAUCUUGUGGUGAACGGAGGGAAUAGUUGUUUCAUUUCUGGAGAUGAGACAAGUGCUUUUAGUACACUAUGCAUAAUACAACAUUUGGACUUGUGUGGUUCUGAAUUUAUCGAUUCAAUCUAAAGCAGUAUAAGUGUUACAGUUCUGACAUGUAGAUGGAAGAGAAUUAGAUACCUGAGCUUGGGUAGAGGACAACAUGGUUGGCGCGGCUUGGUUGGUUCCCUGAUUCGACCUGCCCACUCGUCAUACGGUCACCAGGGAAUCUCCUUAUCACCUCAGGCAGCGCCGCUCUUCUCGAUGGAUAAGCGGCCCUGGCUAUGCGAGUCCUCUGAAUUGGUUAGAUUGUUGAUGUGCUUCCCUUUGCCAUUCAGGAGUCCACCAUUUGACAUGAAGGGUUGUUGCGCCACCCUGGUCAUUUCAAGGAACUCCUCCCAGCUAAACAUGUCACUCUUCAAUUGA